CAUCAUAUGCUGGCUGUCCGGAUGUGUAAAAUACAUCUGUUAGCAAGGGCCGGGCAAGACCGGUGCCAGCCGCCGCGGUAACACCGGCGGCCCGAGUGGUGAUCGUGAUUAUUGGGUCUAAAGGGUCCGUAGCCGGUUUGGUCAGUCCUCCGGGAAAUUUGACAGCUCAAAUGUUAGGCUUUCGGGGGAUACUGCCAGACUUGGAACCGGGAGAGGUAAGAGGUACUACAGGGGUAGGAGUGAAAUCUUGUGAUCCAUUGAUGACCACCUGUGGCGAAGGCGUUUUACCAGAACGGGUCCGACGGUGAGGGGAUGAAAGCUGGGGGAGCAAACCGGAUUAGAUACCCGGGUAGUCCCAACCUGUAAACGUAUGC
rnacentral:rRNA from 1 species